GACAGAGGGUGCAAACGUUGUUCGGAAUUACUGGGCGUAAAGCGCGUGUAGGCGGCUAUGCAAGUCGGAUGUGAAAGCCCUCGGCUCAACCGGGGAAGUGCACCCGAAACUGCAAAGCUAGAGUCUCGGAGAGGAUCGUGGAAUUCUCGGUGUAGAGGUGAAAUUCGUAGAUAUCGAGAGGAACACCGGUGGCGAAGGCGGCGAUCUGGACCACUACUGACGCUGAGGAACGAAAGCUAGGGGAGCAAACAGG
rnacentral:rRNA from 1 species